UUUGGAAAAGAAUUGAUCCUGGCUCAGGACGAACGCUGGCGGCGUGCCUAAUACAUGCAAGUCGAGCGGACAGAUGGGAGCUUGCUCCCUGAUGUUAGCGGCGGACGGGUGAGUAACACGUGGGUAACCUGCCUGUAAGACUGGGAUAACUCCGGGAAACCGGGGCUAAUACCGGAUGGUUGUUUGAACCGCAUGGUUCAGACAUAAAAGGUGGCUUCGGCUACCACUUACAGAUGGACCCGCGGCGCAUUAGCUAGUUGGUGAGGUAACGGCUCACCAAGGCGACGAUGCGUAGCCGACCUGAGAGGGUGAUCGGCCACACUGGGACUGAGACACGGCCCAGACUCCUACGGGAGGCAGCAGUAGGGAAUCUUCCGCAAUGGACGAAAGUCUGACGGAGCAACGCCGCGUGAGUGAUGAAGGUUUUCGGAUCGUAAAGCUCUGUUGUUAGGGAAGAACAAUACCGUUCAAAUAGGGCGGCACCUUGACGGUACCUAACCAGAAAGCACGGCUAUCCG
rnacentral:rRNA from 1 species